GAGGAACUAGCCUUAGCGAGGCCAUGGGGGAAAAAGUCUAACUGGCGGAACUCCUGGGAACUGGGGCGAUGGGCUCUUAGUAUCGGAGGAUUGGAGCCAUCUGAUUUUUACCUGAAAUUCCUUAGUCUCUCCUGUGUUGGGGAAAUGGUCACCUUGCCUUCAGGGACCUGGGCUUUCAGCUGUCCAUACCUGGCCCUGGUUGAUGGCGGCAUGCUGGGCAGUGCACGUGAAGACGCACAUGAGACCGGGACUUGCUGUGUUGCCCAGGCUGGUCUUGAACUCCUGGUCUUAAGCAAUCAUACUGCUUUGGCCACCCAAAGCACUGGGAUUACAGGCGUGAACCACCACACCCAGCUCUUAAAACCACAGUAUUUCUAGCACAGGACUGCACCAAGGGGCAAUGCAGUACUGCAGCCUUCCUCUGACUCAGUUUGGAUUCUCUCUGUCCGUUCUCACCACACUACUAAGGAGAGAACAGUGCCAGGCAGGGGAAGGAGAGGUACCUGAAGUUCUUUCUCCAGUUGAGCCUGAAGCUCUUCCAUCCCCGAGGGCAGCACUAGCCUGGAGGGCA
rnacentral:lncRNA from 1 species